UACAGCAACCAGAUAGUCAGACAAUCAUAGU
rnacentral:piRNA from 1 species